AUAUUCCGACAGGGGAGCGCCACAGCGCUGAGAGUGCGGUAGCCGGAGCACCGGUGGGCCGCAGACCCUCUGAACCUUGCCCAGGUCAUUCUGGGUAGGAAGUUCGGGCAUCACUCAAG
rnacentral:ncRNA from 1 species